rnacentral:rRNA from 1 species
UCCGGUGACCAUAUUGAAAAGGCCACACCCGUUCCCAUUCCGAACACGGUAGUUAAGCUUUUCAAGCCGAUGGUAGUGCUACAAGCGCGAGAGUAGGUGUUGCCGGAU